CAGCAGCCGCGGUAAUACGUAGGGUGCAAGCGUUAAUCGGAAUUACUGGGCGUAAAGCGUGCGCAGGCGGUUAUAUAAGACAGAUGUGAAAUCCCCGGGCUCAACCUGGGAACUGCAUUUGUGACUGUAUAGCUAGAGUACGGCAGAGGGGGAUGGAAUUCCGCGUGUAGCAGUGAAAUGCGUAGAUAUGCGGAGGAACACCGAUGGCGAAGGCAAUCCCCUGGGCCUGUACUGACGCUCAUGCACGAAAGCGUGGGGAGCAAACAGGAUUAGAUACACCGGUAGUCCCUGUCUCUUAUAC
rnacentral:rRNA from 1 species